AACCGUUAGAUCUUUGAUCUAACGGUCAGUGUGCUUCCUGCAUUUUACACUAUCUUUUGUGCUUUUUUUUUGGACCCUUGGAUCUUUGAUCCAGUGGCUGUGAUGUGAUCUUGGGAGUUAGAUCUGGACCUCUGGAUUCAUCCAGCGGACCAGAUUAAAUCCUGCUGAGCCUCUUUUUAAUUGCUUUUUAAUUGUGUUUUAAAUACUUUUUUACACUUUCUUGGCGUUUUAUGCUUCUAAAAAAUUUCUAAAAAUAUUUCCCUAUCAUUUUAAUUUUUCCUCUAAGUGUUAGAAUUUAUUUGCUUAUUUUUGCAUUUAUUUUCUUUACUUUGUUCUUUUAAUUCUUGCUCAUUAAAUUCCAUAUAUGUUCUUGAUGCAUUUUUUACAUAUUGUGAUAUUUUUGCAUGUGAAAUAAUGUGUGAAAAUAUCUCUAGGAAUAUGAUAUAAUGCUUUGCUUGUGUGUACUCUUAUGAUCCUCACAUUGUAGCUUAAAUUCAAACCUUUCAAAAAUGGCUAUAAUGAGGGAAUUAUAGGUCAUAUGCAUGUAUGAGUGUUAUACCUAAAUUCUAGGUGUAUUUUUACUACUUUGUUUCGUUGCAUUAUUUUCUUUCUCUUGUGCUAUUCAAUUCUAUAUUGCUUGCAUCUUUUUUUAUUAUUAUCAUUUUGUACCUGUGUUACUAACUCUUAUGCUUCAUAUCUCAUUCAUUCCAUAAGCACCUAAUCUUUGUACUCUCAUUGCUCCUAGUUUAGGUUUUCUUUUUGUAUUCAUUUCUAUGCCAACUGGUUUGUAAUAAAUUUAGUUAGUUUAGUUUAGUUUACAUUCUUGCAAGACCAUAGCAUGUAUCUAGGACUCGAUGUAAAGGACUAUGGACACUAUAAGUGAUGUACACCGACACGACCACCGACACAUGCACACACCCCACAUGGAUAUUCUAGAUGCAUGAUUAGGCAAUGUAUGUUUAGAUGUAUGCUUAGGUUCUAUAAUGCUUAGACAAAAAAUCAUUUUUCCCAAAAAAUGUGAAUAACCUCACUUGAAAACCUUUUUCCAAAAUAGGAGUCAAAACUCCUCAUUUUCCUUUUAUUUUCUUAAGUAAAAAUCUUAAUGAAUUUUAAUCAUACUUAGACUUUAUUUUGCAAAAUAACUAAUUCCACCUCACAUUUUCCGAAUCUCAUGCCCUUGAGGCCUCUCAUCUCCAUUCUUUAAAAUUCCUUUUUCAAACUUAAAAUCAACCAACAAAAACAAAAACAAUUUUUGAGAAUGAACUACGUUUGGUUUUGAUCCCUUAAAAGGGUACAUAGGCAAUGAGUCAAAACUCCUCCAAGCCAAAUUAAAAUAAAAUCUCAAUCAUCUUCUCUCCCCCAUUCUUCACUCAAAUAAAACUUCUUUUUUCAAUAAGUAGGCAAUAAAAGUAAAGCGUAGACAUCAAACUAGGAAAAAGGUUCUAUAAUCAUUGCGGGUGCCUAACACCUUCCCGUAGUGAAAGCGACCCUCGAACUUAGAAUCUUUCAAGGGUUUUUUCUCAAUUUUGCCCUUCCCAAGAAAAAAUAGAGAUUAUCAAAGAUUGAAAGGUUCAAGCCUAAUCAAUGACUUGACACCCGAAAAUCGUGAUAACAC
rnacentral:lncRNA from 1 species